CGAAACCGAUAGCGAACAAGUACCGUGAGGGAAAGUUGAAAAGUACUCUGAAUAGAGAGUUAAAUAGUACGUGAAACCGCUUAGGGGUUAAGCCCGAUGAACCCGAAUAUCUGAUGUGAGAAAUUCAAUAUUGUUCAUUGCCAUGCAAUGGAUAGUAUGCACUUUUCUCAUAGUAAGACAUUGUAAUCCAUUGAUACUAUAUCUCUUUCAUUUACGGAAGUGAUGAUUUAACAUACGAACAAAAUGUAUUAGUUUAUUCUAUCAGUGAUGUGUUUACAUGUCAUAUGAAUAAGAUCGUUUUGUAUCUGUUUAAAUAGUCGAUGGAUUUUAAAUGAAUCAUGUUUGCAAUUCAUUUUGCGUUUCGUAUUAUUGGCCAUUCGUAUUAGGUGGUUGAUAAUAGCAGAAAUGGCAUGCAUUCGAUUAACAAUGCGAUAGAUUUGGGAUACUUUCAGGACCCGUCUUGA
rnacentral:rRNA from 1 species